UUUUUUAUGGUGUAAUUAACACGUUGAAUUUUCGUUUCAGAGAUGGGGCUUGUUCUCUAGGCUUUUAUGAUAGAUUACUUUGAAAGU
rnacentral:tRNA from 1 species